rnacentral:rRNA from 1 species
UAGGGAGAAGGGGUGCUCCAGAAAUGGAGCCGCAGUAAAACGGCCCAAGCGACUGUUUACCAAAAACACAGCUCUCUGCGAAGGCGCAAGCCGAAGUAUAGGGGGUGACGCCUGCCCGGUGCUGGAAGGUCAAGGGGAGCUGUCAGCGCAAGCGAAGCAGCGAGCCGAAGCCCCAGUAAACGGCGGCCGUAACUAUAACGGUCCUAAGGUAGCGAAAUUCCUUGUCGGGCAAGUUCCGACCCGCACGAAAGGCGUAACGAUUUGGGCGCUGUCUCAGCUGUAGACUCGGUGAAGUCUUAGUACCUGUGAAGAUGCAGGUUGCCCGCGACUAGACGGAAAGACCCCAUGGAGCUUCACUGCAGGUUGACAUUGGGCUUGGAUGCAUGAUGUACAGGAUAGGUGGGAGGCUGUGAGCCGUGCGCGCCAGCGUACGGGGAGCCGCUGUUGGGAUACCACCCUUCAUGCAUCUAGGUCCUAACCGGAGGCAACGGGCCACGGGACAGUGUCAGUCGGGCAGUUUGACUGGGGCGGUCGCCUCCCAAAGAGUAACGGAGGCGCCCAAAGAUACCCUCAGCAUGGAUGGAAACCAUGCAUAGAGUGCAAAGGCAUAAGGGUGUCUGACUGCGAGACAUACAGGUCG